UAGGGAAUAUUGCAAAAUGGGCGAAAGCCCGAUGCAGCAACGCCGCGUGGGCGAUGAAGGCCUUCGGGUCGUAAAGCCCUUUUUGAGGGGAUGAGGAAGGACAGUACCCUCAGAAUAAGCCUCGGCUAACUACGUGCCAGCAGCCGCGGUAAAACGUAGGAGGCGAGCGUUAUCCGGAUUUACUGGGCGUGAAGCGCGUGCAGGCGGAUUGGAGAGUUGGAUGUGAAAGCUCCCGGCUUAACUGGGAGAGGUCGUUCAAUACUUCCAGUCUUGAGUGCAGGAGAGGGAAGUUGAAUUCCGGGUGUAGUGGUGAAAUGCGUAGAUAGCCGGAGGAACACCAGUGGCGAAAGCGGCUUCCUGGACUGUAACUGACGCUCAGACGCGAAAGCUAGGGUAGCAAACG
rnacentral:rRNA from 1 species